AGCGAACGCUGGCGGCAGGCCUAACACAUGCAAGUCGAACGAACCCUUCGGGGUUAGUGGCGGACGGGUGAGUAACACGUGGGAACGUGCCUUUAGGUUCGGAAUAACUCAGGGAAACUUGUGCUAAUACCGAAUGUGCCCUUCGGGGGAAAGAUUUAUCGCCUUUAGAGCGGCCCGCGUCUGAUUAGCUAGUUGGUGAGGUAAUUGCUCACCAAGGCUACGAUCAGUAGCUGGUCUGAGAGGAUGGCCAGCCACAUUGGGACUGAGACACGGCCCAAACUCCUACGGGAGGCAGCAGUGGGGAAUCUUGCGCAAUGGGCGAAAGCCUGACGCAGCCAUGCCGCGUGGAUGAUGAAGGUCUUAGGAUUGUAAAAUCCUUUCACCGGUGAAGAUAAUGACUGUAGCCGGAGAAGAAGCCCCGGCCAACUUCGUGCCAGCCGCCGCAGUAAGAC
rnacentral:rRNA from 1 species